AAUGCACAUAGUGUAAGUCGCUUUGGAUAAAACCGUCUGCUAAAUGACUAAAA
rfam:Salmo salar isolate Sally breed double haploid chromosome ssa12, whole genome shotgun sequence.